rnacentral:rRNA from 1 species
UACGUAGGGUGCAAGCGUUGUCCGGAAUUAUUGGGCGUAAAGAGCUCGUAGGCGGUCUGUCGCGUCUGCUGUGAAAACUCAGGGCUUAACCCUGAGCUUGCAGUGGGUACGGGCAGACUAGAGUGCGGUAGGGGAGACUGGAAUUCCUGGUGUAGCGGUGAAAUGCGCAGAUAUCAGGAGGAACACCGAUGGCGAAGGCAGCUCGCUGGGACGGUACUGACACUGAGGCGCGAAAGCCAGGGGAGCAAACGGG